rnacentral:tRNA from 1 species
GGACGGUGCAACAAAUUGGUAAGUUGCCUAGUGACAAGUGUGUAUGUGCUUGUCUGGUCAGCACUAGAUAUAGGUUCGAGUCCUAUACCGUCCA